UGAAACCCCUGUCUUCUGUUCUCACUCGAAUCUCUCAAUUUAUUUUUGUAUCUAACUGGUUCGUGCUGGUUUCUUUGUGCUUCAUGUUGAAUUCUGGUUGGAUCAUGCUGAAUUCUGGUUGGAUCAUGCUGAAUUGUGGUGGGAUCAUGCUGAAUUCUGGACAGAUCGUGCUGAAUUGUGGUGGGAUCAUGCUGAAUUCUGGUGGGAUCAUGCUGAAUUCUGGUUGGAUCGUGCUGAAUUCUGGUCGGAUCGUGCUGAAUUGUGGUCGGAUCAUGGUGAAUUCUGGUCGGAUCAUGCUGCAUUCUGGUUGGAUCAUGUUCAUUGUUUUCUAUUGAAAGGUGGGAAAAGAACAGUUCAAACUAGGUCCAUACAUAAUAAAACACUGUGUUUGUGUGUGCAUGUGCAUGCGCGUGUGUGUGUUUGAGUGUGAGCACAUGCUGUUUUAGCCUAUGUGUGUACGUCUUUUACCUCUCUCCUGUACCACAUCUCUCCCGACAUUGUCACUACAUGCAACAUCCUCAGGAGGUGCACUGGAUCCUGUGAUAUUAUACAGAAUUCUACACUAAUUUCAUGUUUCAAUCAGAUUUGAAAGUGGUGCUCAAAUGCCAUAGCAGUAAUACAUUCUCUUUCUCAAAAAAUUAAAAUGAACAUUGAGGAUUAGAACAAGAGCAUAGAGGCCCAACCUGCACAGAAAUGGGUGUUGAUAUAGUCUGGUGUUCUUUCAGUAGAAACUCCUAAAACAAGAAAGGGCACUUCUAUAAGAUUAUCACUUUUUCAAGGGGUAAUGUAUAUUUUGGAAGUACAAGUACAUCACAUUUCACAAACAUAUUAGGCUACUUUGAAAUGUUCUACCACUGCAUCCCUGCAGUUCCUCUUUCUAAAGCGUAUACUGGGUGGCAUUAAGACAUGCCUACAGGCCUGUUUAAACUGUGCAAUGUGCAUAUUUUCAGUGGGAUAUGUAGCUACUUAACUGACAUGGAAGCAGCUUGCAAAGUUGCACAAUCAACAUAAUAACAUUUACAUCAGAAAGAAAGGAUGCUGCUUAACGCUCAUAGGAAGGUUCGGAUUAGCCCAAAUAACUGUUGCUGUACUCAAUGAAGCAUACUGUAUACUGUGCAUGCCGUGCUAGCUGCUUCAUCCAUAUCAUUCCAAUGCAGAAGUAAAACUGAGUGAGUCAGAUGGAACAAUGGGGGUGCUCACGUGUCCAUUUCACUCAGCAGAAACAGCCACUUAGGAGCACUAGGAGGAUGGCCAAACUGCCGACGCUGAAAAACAACACGAUGUGUGAACCUAGACGAGUAAAGAGGAAGAGGUGGUUUUAUUCACAUUCCUGUAUCUUAC
ensembl:lncRNA